rnacentral:lncRNA from 1 species
GCCUCUCAACCGGCCACGGCAUCCCCCUCCUGCUCACUCUGCAGCGGAAACAAUCCCCAGGGUGGGUGCACGGAGCACCCUCUGCCCAUCUACACGUCUCCCAAGAACCACACAUAUUUUCCUUCUGAGCUGGCUCCAGCCUAUGUGUCAAUGUGUCCGCCUGAGGCUAAACUUUCCUUAAUGACUGGGUGAGGCACUGGCUGGGCUCCUUCAGCCACCGGAGGAGGGACCAUCCCUGUUGGGUGCCUCUAGCUGCCAGGAGAGGCUUGGCUGCCAGAAUGUGCCGGUAAAGACACCCCAGGGUCUAAAGCCAGCACUGUUUAGCUUGAUGUUGUGGUACAAAGAAACACGGGUGGGGAAACUGAGUCAUAGUCCAAACCUCUUCCUCCUAAAUGAUCUUAUUCUUGGGCACCAAGAGACAAGAGGUGGGGCUGAAGAGAAGAGAUGCCUCACAGUUGCCAGAGCCAGAGGCUGUGGUAACUAACUUAUGGCUAAUGAAUUUGGUGCUCUAGAUUGUUAACUGACUGUAGUCCCUUAUGAGCCUGAGCCUCAGUGUCCUCAUCAGGGAAUGGAUGAGGUAACAGAGCUCCCUAACAGCGAUGAAUAUGAGGUGAACUUGACAAUGCAGGUAGCUGCUGGCAUCGAGGAGGGAAUGCAAGUCCUCUGAAUGCCAGGGGAGGUCUGAAGCACUCGCAGAAGGAAUGUGCUCUGCAGACUGAUCGCAGCCGGAUGGGGAUCCAUGAAGUGCUCUGCUCUCUUCUCUUUUCCUUGCUGUACCCCGGGGUUGAAGGAACACAGGCCUCUCCAGGCCCCAGGAUCCAGCCUUACUGGACUACCAUCUCUUCCCAAAGGCAGGGCAUGGGGACCAGGAACAAGAGCCCCGGUUAGAGCGCAAAAGAUGGCUGAACAUAACUGGGCAAGCCUGUAAUACACUGUGGCCUCCGGGAAGCAGGAACAGAAGACCUGUCAGUUCAAGGCCAGAAAAAAGAAAGAACAAAGAAAGAAUAACCCAAGUUGAUAAGGACCUGAUUAUAGAAACUGUGACCACGAGACACUAUCCAGCAAAUGACAAGAACCACAGCAACACGCAUCCCCACGGGCCUCAAGAGCGACACCAAAGACCCUGCAAGUUUCCUCUAUCCAUUUUCUGUUGUGAAAAUAAAUUACGAAGCCAGUCUAGGUUACAUAGUGAGAUCCAGGCUAGCCAGACUGGCAUGGUCUCAACUAGUAAGUAAGUAAGUAAGUAAGUAAGUAAAUAAAUAAAAUUUAAAAACUGAAAUGCA